CGGGACACGUGGUAUCCUGUCUGAAUAUGGGGGGACCAUCCUCCAAGGCUAAAUACUCCUGACUGACCGAUAGUGAACCAGUACCGUGAGGGAAAGGCGAAAAGAACCCCGGCGAGGGGAGUGAAAAAGAACCUGAAACCGUGUACGUACAAGCAGUGGGAGCACAGAGCAAUCUGUGUGACUGCGUACCUUUUGUAUAAUGGGUCAGCGACUUAUAUUCUGUAGCAAGGUUAACCGAAUAGGGGAGCCGAAGGGAAACCGAGUCUUAACCGGGCGUUAAGUUGCAGGGUAUAGACCCGAAACCCGGUGAUCUAGCCAUGGGCAGGUUGAAGGUUGGGUAACACUAACUGGAGGACCGAACCGACUAAUGUUGAAAAAUUAGCGGAUGACUUGUGGCUGGGGGUGAAAGGCCAAUCAAACCGGGAGAUAGCUGGUUCUCCCCGAAAGCUAUUUAGGUAGCGCCUCGUGAAUUCAUCUCCGGGGGUAGAGCACUGUUUCGGCAAGGGGGUCAUCCCGACUUACCAACCCGAUGCAAACUGCGAAUACCGGAGAAUGUUAUCACGGGAGACACACGGCGGGUGCUAACGUCCGUCGUGAAGAGGGAAACAACCCAGACCGCCAGCUAAGGUCCCAAAGUCAUGGUUAAGUGGGAAACGAUGUGGGAAGGCCCAGACAGCCAGGAUGUUGGCUUAGAAGCAGCCAUCAUUUAAAGAAAGCGUAAUAGCUCACUGGUCGAGUCGGCCUGCGCGGAAGAUGUAACGGGGCUAAACCAUGCACCGAAGCUGCGGCAGCGACACUGUGUGUUGUUGGGUAGGGGAGCGUUCUGUAAGCCUGUGAAGGUGUGCUGUGAGGCAUGCUGGAGGUAUCAGAAGUGCGAAUGCUGACAUAAGUAACGAUAAAGCGGGUGAAAAGCCCGCUCGCCGGAAGACCAAGGGUUCCUGUCCAACGUUAAUCGGGGCAGGGUGAGUCGACCCCUAAGGCGAGGCCGAAAGGCGUAGUCGAUGGGAAACAGGUUAAUAUUCCUGUACUUGGUGUUACUGCGAAGGGGGGACGGAGAAGGCUAUGUUGGCCGGGCGACGGUUGUCCCGGUUUAAGCGUGUAGGCUGGUUUUCCAGGCAAAUCCGGAAAAUCAAGGCUGAGGCGUGAUGACGAGGCACUACGGUGCUGAAGCAACAAAUGCCCUGCUUCCAGGAAAAGCCUCUAAGCAUCAGGUAACAUCAAAUCGUACCCCAAACCGACACAGGUGGUCAGGUAGAGAAUACCAAGGCGCUUGAGAGAACUCGGGUGAAGGAACUAGGCAAAAUGGUGCCGUAACUUCGGGAGAAGGCACGCUGAUAUGUAGGUGAAGUCCCUCGCGGAUGGAGCUGAAAUCAGUCGAAGAUACCAGCUGGCUGCAACUGUUUAUUAAAAACACAGCACUGUGCAAACACGAAAGUGGACGUAUACGGUGUGACGCCUGCCCGGUGCCGGAAGGUUAAUUGAUGGGGUCAGCGCAAGCGAAGCUCUUGAUCGAAGCCCCGGUAAACGGCGGCCGUAACUAUAACGGUCCUAAGGUAGCGAAAUUCCUUGUCGGGUAAGUUCCGACCUGCACGAAUGGCGUAAUGAUGGCCAGGCUGUCUCCACCCGAGACUCAGUGAAAUUGAACUCGCUGUGAAGAUGCAGUGUACCCGCGGCAAGACGGAAAGACCCCGUGAACCUUUACUAUAGCUUGACACUGAACAUUGAGCCUUGAUGUGUAGGAUAGGUGGGAGGCUUUGAAGUGUGGACGCCAGUCUGCAUGGAGCCGACCUUGAAAUACCACCCUUUAAUGUUUGAUGUUCUAACGUGGACCCGUGAUCCGGGUUGCGGACAGUGUCUGGUGGGUAGUUUGACUGGGGCGGUCUCCUCCUAAAGAGUAACGGAGGAGCACGAAGGUUGGCUAAUCCUGGUCGGACAUCAGGAGGUUAGUGCAA
rnacentral:rRNA from 1 species